UGGGAAAGCUCAGUUGGUAGAGCAUAAGACUCUUAAUCUCAGAAUCAUGGGUUUGAAUCCCACAUUGGGCAAAA